GCGUGUUGCCGGGGUGCUGAACCCUGGCGCACGCCUGAUAAGCGUGAGGUCGGUAGUUCGAGUCUACCCAGGCGCA
rnacentral:tRNA from 1 species